GCCCUGGUCGUUUAACGGGUAGGACUGGUGAUCUCGAGAAGACGCUGGUGCGGGUUCGAAUCCCGCCCAGGGCG
rnacentral:tRNA from 1 species